rnacentral:misc_RNA from 1 species
ACGAGUUAGGGUCCUCUAGGCCCGACCUCCCAACCCUUUGCUUACCGAACCUCUGUUGCUUCGGCGGGCCCGUCUCACGACCGCCGGAGGACCGCCGCAGGGCGUGUCCUCUAGCCCGUGUCCGCCGAUAGCCAACUACGAAACUCUGUAUAAAUCAUGUCUCAUGUCUAAGUCAAAUUGAAUUAAAAGCA